GGGGAAUAUUGCACAAUGGGGGAAACCCUGAUGCAGCGACGCCGCGUGAAGGAAGAAGUAUCUCGGUAUGUAAACUUCUAUCAGCAGGGAAGAUAGUGACGGUACCUGACUAAGAAGCCCCGGCUAACUACGUGCCAGCAGCCGCGGUAAUACGUAGGGGGCAAGCGUUAUCCGGAUUUACUGGGUGUAAAGGGAGCGUAGACGGUGUGGCAAGUCAGAUGUGAAAUCUAUGGGCUCAACCCAUAAACUGCAUUUGAAACUGUAGAGCUUGAGUGAAGUAGAGGCAGGCGGAAUUCCCCGUGUAGCGGUGAAAUGCGUAGAGAUGGGGAGGAACACCAGUGGCGAAGGCGGCCUGCUGGGCUUUAACUGACGCUGAGGCACGAAAGCGUGGGUAGCAAACAGGAUUAGAUACCCUGGUAGUCCACGCUGUAAACGAUGAUUACUAGGUGUGGGGGGUCUGACCCCUUCCGUGCCGGAGUUAACACAAUAAGUAAUCCACCUGGGGAGUACGGCCGCAAGGUUGAAACUCAAAGGAAUUGACGGGGGCCCGCACAAGCAGUGGAGUAUGUGGUUUAAUUCGAAGCAACGCGAAGAACCUUACCAGGUCUUGACAUCCAACUAACGAAGUAGAGAUACAUUAGGUGCCCUUCGGGGAAAGUUGAGACAGGUGGUGCAUGGUUGUCGUCAGCUCGUGUCGUGAGAUGUUGGGUUAAGUCCCGCAACGAGCGCAACCCUUGCUAUUAGUUGCUACGCAAGAGCACUCUAAUAGGACUGCCGUUGACAAAACGGAGGAAGGUGGGGACGACGUCAAAUCAUCAUGCCCCUUAUGACCUGGGCUACACACGUACUACAAUGGAUGUUAACAGAGGGAAGCAAGACAGUGAUGUGGAGCAAACCCCUAAAAACAUUCUCAGUUCAGAUUGCAGGCUGCAACCCGCCUGCAUGAAGAUGGAAUUGCUAGUAAUCGCGGAUCAGCAUGCCGCGGUGAAUACGUUCCCG
rnacentral:rRNA from 1 species